UCAGUCAGUCAGAGGAAUGGCCCACUCCAGACCGUUGAGACUCUCAGCUAUGGCUUUGGAUCUUCCUGCAGAUCCCACUCCCUCAUCUAAUUUCUUUAAACAUCAGGAUGGUGCAACAGAACUUCUGCUUUUUAAAUAUUGAAGCCUGGAUAGACAAAAUCAGGGAGAAGUUCAGCUGAUAACGUGCAGAUGGCACAACUCAAUGUACCAGGGGCCACCGAACUGCUCACCAGGGUGAGGUUUCUGUGCCCUACCUCCAGGGAAGCUAAAGUUUUGUUGGUUCCAUCUAUACUGGGUCACACUUUCAAGAUCCGCACACAGCCCAGCUUGAGAGUGACUAAACGGUGAAGUAGACUCAUCUUCCGGGGUCCACUUCAUUUUCCGGAGUUCACUUCAGUAGAAGACAUGGGGAUGGAGACCAUGCUUUGCUCUUAGUUUUUAA